AGAGUUUGAUCCUGGCUCAGGAUGAACGCUAGCGACAGGCCUAACACAUGCAAGUCGAGGGGCGAGCGGAGAGGUAGCAAUACCUUUGCCGGCGACCGGCGCACGGGUGAGUAACACGUAUGCAAUCCACCUGUAACAGGGGGAUAACCCGGAGAAAGUCCGGACUAAUACCCCAUAAUAUGGGCGCUCCGCAUGGAGAGCCCAUUAAAGAGAGCAAUUUUGGUUACAGACGAGCAUGCGCUCCAUUAG
rnacentral:rRNA from 1 species